rnacentral:rRNA from 1 species
GAUGAACGCUGGCGGCGUGCCUAAUACAUGCAAGUCGAGCGAACAGACGAGGAGCUUGCUCCUCUGACGUUAGCGGCGGACGGGUGAGUAACACGUGGAUAACCUCCCUAUAAGACUGGGAUAACUUCGGGACACCGGAGCUAAUACCGGAUAAUAUAUUGAACCGCAUGGUUCAAUAGUGAAAGACGGUUUUGCUGUCAGUUGUAGAUGGAUCCGCGCCGCAUUAGCUAGUUGGUAGGGUAACGGCUUACCAAGGCGACGGUGGGUAGCCGACCUGAGAGGGUGAACGCGCACAUUGGUACUGAGAGAGGGCCCAGAAUCGUACGGGACGCAAUGGUGGGGAGUCUUGCGCAGUGGGCGGACGCCUGAUGCGGAAACGCCGCGUGCGGGAUGACGGCCUUCGGGUUGUAAACCGCUUUGGAAUGUGACGAGGAGUGCGUGACGGUACUGGGUAAAGAAGCACCGGCUAACUACGUG